rnacentral:rRNA from 1 species
GAGAGUUUGAUCCUGGCUCAGAAUCAACGCUGGCGGCGUGCCUCAGACAUGCAAGUCGAACGCGAAAGUCUCCUUCGGGAGGCGAGUAGAGUGGCGCACGGGUGAGUAACACGUAAGUAAUCUACCCUCGGGUGGGGAAUAACAUCGGGAAACCGAUGCUAAUACCGCAUAAUGCAGCGGCUCCUUAUGGAGACAGUUGUUAAAGUAUUUAUAUGCCUGGGGAGGAGCUUGCGGCAGAUUAGCUAGUUGGUAAGGUAAUGGCUUACCAAGGCUACGAUCUGUAGCCGACCUGAGAGGGUGGUCGGUCACACUGACACUGAAUAACGGGUCAGACUCCUACGGGAGGCAGCAGUCGGGAAUUUUGGGCAAUGGGCGAAAGCCUGACCCAGCAACGCCGCGU